rnacentral:rRNA from 1 species
CGCCUGUUUAACAAAAACAUCGUUUACUGCUUAAAUGGUAAAUAACGUCUGCCCACUGAAUUUUUAACGGCCGCAGUAUCCUGACUGUGCAAAGGUAGCAUAAUCAUUUGUCUCUUAAUUAGAGGCUAGUAUGAAUGGCACGACGAGGUAGACCCUGUGUCUUCCUAUAAAUCUAACUUAAUAUUUAAGUCAAAAAGCUUAAAUAAUCCCGCAGGACGAGAAGACCCCGUAGAUCUUAAUAUAACCCUAUUUUGUAUACUAUAGAAGCUCAAGUAAUUAAACAGGUUAAUAUUUAGUUGGGGUGACGUGAAGUAUAAACACUUUCCUUAAACACGACCAUACAAGGCUUAAUGACCCGGUUAACCGAUUAAAAGAUAAAGUUACCUUGGGGAUAACAGCGUAAUCUACUUUUAGAGUCCUAAUCAACAAGUAGGUUUGCGACCUCGAUGUUGGAUUAAGAACCUGUUUGUGGGCAGCCCCGCAAACCAGGGGUCUGUUCGACCUUUAAAUUCUUACAUGAUCUGAGUUCAAACCGGAGCUCC